rnacentral:rRNA from 1 species
UACGUAGGGUGCAAGCGUUAAUCGGAAUUACUGGGCGUAAAGCGUGCGCAGGCGGUUAUGUAAGACAGAUGUGAAAUGCCCGGGCUUAACCUGGGAACUGCAUUUGUGACUGCAUGGCUAGAGUUUGGCAGAGGGGGGUAGAAUUCCACGUGUAGCAGUGAAAUGCGUAGAUAUGUGGAGGAACACCGAUGGCGAAGGCAGCCCCCCGGGUCAAGACUGACGCUCAUGCACGAAAGCGUGGGGAGCAAACAGG